rnacentral:rRNA from 1 species
CCGUAACUAUAACGGUCCUAAGGUAGCGAAAUUCCUUGUCGGGCAAGUUCCGACCUGCACGAAUGGCAUAACGAUGGCCACACUGUCUCCUCCUGAGACUCAGUGAAGUUGAAGUGUUUGUGAUGAUGCAAUCUCCCCGCGGCUAGACGGAAAGACCCCAUGAACCUUUACUGUAGCUUUGCAUUGGACUUUGAACCGAUCUGUGUAGGAUAGGCGGGAGCCUGUGAAACCACAACGCCAGUUGUGGCGGAGGCGUCCUUGAAAUACCGCCCUGAUUUGUUUGAGGUUCUAACCUGGGACAGUCAUCCUGUCCGGGGACCGUGCAUGGUAGGCAGUUUGACUGGGGCGGUCUCCUCCUAAAGGGUAACGGAGGAGUGCGAAGGUACGCUAGGUACGGUCGGAAAUCGUGCUGAUAGUGCAAUGGCAAAAGCGUGCUUGACUGCGAGACCCACAAGUCGAGCAGAUACGAAAGUAGGUCAUAGUGAUCCGGUGGCUCUGUAUGGAAGGGCCAUCGCUCAACGGAUAAAAGGUACUCUGGGGAUAACAGGCUGAUACCGCCCAAGAGUUCAUAUCGACGGCGGUGUUUGGCACCUCGAUGUCGGCUCAUCUCAUCCUGGGGCUGUAGCCGGUCCCAAGGGUAUGGCUGUUCGCCAUUUAAAGAGGUACGUGAGCUGGGUUUAAAACGUCGUGAGACAGUUUUGUCCCUAUCUGCCGUGGGCGCUGGAAGAUUGACGGGGGCUGCUCCUAGUACGAGAGGACCGGAGUGGACUCACCUCUGGUGUACCGGUUGUCACGCCAGUGGCAUCGCCGGGUAGCUAUGUGGGGAAGAGAUAACCGCUGAAAGCAUCUAAGCGGGAAACUUGCCUGAAGAUAAGUCUUCCUGGAGGCUAGACCUCCCUAAAGAGUCGUUCGAGACCAGGACGUUGAUAGGAUGGGUGUGUAAGUGCUGUGAGGCACUCAGCUAACCAUUACUAAUUGCUCGUGAAGCUUGAUCCU